UUCGAACGUCUCAACCCUCCAACGGUCACAAAAUUAGUAGCCGUUUAGUUCCUUAAAAUCAAAAUACCCAGUGUCAUGUCGCAACUUACUGCAGUUCACUGUCAACCAUAAGUGGUGAUUUCUCAUUCGAAUAAUCCGAAUUCGGUUAAGCCCUCAAGCUUGUGAUGUAAAUUUUUCUUGUGUGUUUGAAUCAACGUGGCUGGAAAUUGAAGUUGUUCCUUGUGAGGAAGAAGAGGAGGAGCAGGAGGAGGAGGAAGAAGACGAUAGGAGAAGGAAGUCAGAGACGAAAUAUUUAUGCUCUUCCAUUGCUUCGCAGCUUCUGAUCCUACGAGUUAUCGUUUUUCAGUCUUAUGGGAUUCAUCCUGUGUAGAUUCAUUGCUAUUUUCAUUUUAUAACGACUCUUCAUCAUCAAUGAUCCUGAAGGGCCUUCCUCAGAUCAUCUUGUUUGGGGUCAAAUGGAGAACUAUGCUGUAGGGAGGGAAAAACGCAGACAGCUAUUUUUAAUGCUUUGUUAGCUUGAAGCAGAUAAGUCUAAGGUAAAUCAGCUGAUCCAGGUAUAUUUCUUUUAAACAAGUCCUAAUCAAUUGAGUCAUUGAUUAUUGCUGAGAUUGAUUAAGUGGGUCAGAAUGUACUAUCAUUUUGAACAUUUUUUUUUUUAUCUUGAAGGAAAGAGAGAGAAAAAGAACUGGUGUUUGAAAGUCUGCUGACAAAUUAGUUGAAUUGUUCUAUAUUUAAUAUUUCCUCAGAUGUUGUUAGUGCAUCUGUUAUAAAAACUACUAAAUCUGUCAAAAGUACGAGACAUAUGACUUUGUUUUGAGUUUGUCCAAAGUAGUAAACCUGUUAUUUAAGCAUGAAAUAAACAACCUUGUUCUCUGAACAAUAUUUUGAAAACUCUUUCUAGGGGCUGACCCUUUUCUUAUGGCUUUGUUUUGGCUUCCUUUUCGUGCUCUACACAAAGUUUUAAUGAAUGUCUCUUUAAUAACUUUAUUACAAGCUUAAUAUUGUUUUCCUCCUAAAGUCCUAUUCAGCAUCUCUUUUUCUGAUUUUUUUAUCAAUGGAGAAAAAGGACUAAUCUUGUCACUGGUUGAUAUAAAUUAUCAACAUGAUGAUGCAACUGAAAUGUGUCAGAUGUUUUUUAGUUGUUAGGCCUUCACAGUUGGAUGGGAUCAUCCUUGUUUACAUCACUUUCUUUUUUAACCUUACCCAUCUUUCUUUCCUUAUCAUGUCAAAAGUUUUUGGGAGAAUCGCGUUGAAGGACCUUUUAAAAAAAUUAUUUACAAAUAAAGACUAAUAACAAGUCUCAUUCAAAAAAUAAAAAAAAAUAAAAAGGUAUGUUUUUAUUUUAACAAUAAUCCCUUCUAUAUUGGUCCUUGUUUGUCAAUAAUUUUCUUAAGGGAUCCUUAGAAGUGAUUCUCCUAAAGUUUUUUGACUGAUCUUAUGUUUAGUAUUUAAUAUGUUGUCUGUAAUGAGUUUAUUUUGGACAAUGACAUUGUUCUUGAGCAAGGAAAUGAUCCUACCUAAGCAAAGGUAUUCUAACAGCUAAUGAGCUCUCUCUUUUUUAAGUUUUUGUUAUCAUAUACUAAUGAAAAUGUCAUCCAUAUUAAAAAAAAAAAUUCAUUUCCAAGUUCUUAAAUUUUAGGCAGACCGGAUUGUGAUUUGUUUAGGAAAACCUAAUGACAUAUCUAAAUAUUUGCCUUUUUAAUUACUUCUGACUUUAGAGUUACAUUAUAGUUGCAGUAUGCACCAUGCAAUUAUAGAUAUUGAGAUAUAGGCAAAGGUAACCAAUUUUUGGCUUUUAGUUAAAAGUUAAAAGUUGUUUGGCUAAUUUUUUUUUAUGAAACCGCAUUUGGGGAUUUGGUCAAUGUAACUUGUGGGAACUUUUGCAAUGUGCAUUUGGGGUUGGGGUAUUAAUGAGAAAGUUAAAAUAUGUACCUAUUUUUUAUAUUACCAUGCUACCCUUAUUUCUAUCAAUUUGCUUUGUCUUUAUGCAUUGGUAAACAUUUUGCAAGCCUUACACUCUUGAUUCUUUGCCAAAUAUUAACAUUGAAAAAUUUAGUUUUCAAAUCUAUGCAAUAUUUGUGCAAAAAGAAAAAAAAUCUAUACAAUAUUAAUUACAUUGUUUAUUUUUUGAAUUAUUAUGUUAUUUCGAAUAUGUAAGAUAAAUGUAUGUGUGUUUUUUUCCCCAAUAAUCUUACACAAGACACAAGAUAUGAGUAUUUAGUUUGAAAUGAAGAAGCAAUAUAAAUAAAAAAAUAUAAUUUUAUCUUUUAAUUUUGGUUUUAAAAUAUUUAUCAUUGAUUUUUUUUGCUUAUUUUUAAAUACUUUUACAAUAUCAAGUGGAUGUGGCAUAGAUGGUAAUAGUCUAGGCUCUUUAAGCAUCAUUUUAAGGUUCAAUUACUGUAGGCUUGUAUGAAAAAACAUUAUUUCAGAGAGAACAACUCCUUAAAUGGCGUUCAAAUUUCUUGAGAGAUUAGUCUCAUGGCUGCUAGCUGUUGGGAUACCUUGGACAGUGAAAAUAUAUUUACAAUUAAUUAAUUAGCAUAUUUUUGUGUUACCAAUAUUAUUGGUAAAGAUUAAUGAAACUUGAUUUACUAUCUUAUUUAGGAGAUUCGCUUCCAACAUGUCUUUUUCAUAUAUAUCCCAAGUGAAACUUGAUUGUGAUAUAACUUGUUAGAAUUGAGAUUCAAAUGUGUGUGUGAUUAGGCCUUGUCUUUUUCAUACAAGUACCAAUCGAAACUUGACUAUGGUAUCACUUAUUAUAGGUUUUCAACUUUAUGCAAUUAUGGCUUUCAAAAUCUUCUUUUUCAUAUAAGUUCCAGCAAAACUUGAUUGUAAUACCAUUUAUUAAAGAUUGGAACUCAAACAUGAUGCAAUUAUAGGCUUCCAACAUUGUGCAAUUACAGGUUUUCAACACUAUAAUAUUAGGCUUCUAACAUUAUCCUUUUCAUAUAGGUCCCAAAUGUGUGUGCCAGGCUUCCAACGUUGCAUAAUUAUAGGUUUUACACAUAGGUAUCACUUAUUUGGGAAUUGAGGCUCAAAUGUGUGCAAUUACAGGCUUUCAAAAUCAUUCUUUUCAAAUCAUAUAAGUCUCCAACAAAACUUGAUUGUCAUUACAGGUUUUCAACAUUCUGUACUUACGGGCUUUUAAUAUCAUCCUUUUCAUAUAGGUCUUAAACAUGUAUGCAAUUAUAGGUUUUUAACAUUGUGAUUAUGGGCUUUCAACAUUAUCUUUUUAUACAGGUGCCUAAUGAAACAUGCAAUUAUAGGUUUUCAACUUUGUGCAAUUAUAGGAUUCCAAAGUUUUUUUUUUUUUUUCAUGCAGGUUCCUACCAAAACUUAAUUAUGAUAUCAUUUAUUAGGAUUUACUUCCAAUAUUGUGUAAUUAUUGGUUUUCAACACUGUGAAAUUAUGGGCUUCCAACAUCUUCUUUUUCAUAUAGGUCUCAAACUUAUUUGCAAUUACAAGUUUUAAUUAUAAU